UCCUUUUUCUAAUCAGUGAAACUGAUCUCCCCGUGAAGAAGCGGGGAUAUUUAUAUAAGACGAGAAGACCCCAUGGAGCUUUAAACUCAAUAGAUACUCCUCUGCUCUAACAUGAUAUCUUAGGCACCUAUCUAUUAGUUUUGGGUUGGGGUGACCACGGAGUACAAUCUAGCCUCCGCAAUGAAAAGAAUAAUAUCCUAAUCCAUGAGGGACACCUCUAAGAAUUAAUAUAUUAGCAUACACUGAUCCAAUAACCUAUUUGAUCAAUGAACCAAGUUACCCUGGGGAUAACAGCGCGAUCCACUUCAAGAGUUCCUAUCGACGAGUGGGUUUACGACCUCGAUGUUGGAUCAGGGUAUCCCGGUGGUGCAGCCGCUACUAAAGGUUCGUUUGUUCAACGAUUAAAACCCUACGU
rnacentral:rRNA from 1 species